AUCACUACUUAAAACAUUUAUCAAAGUUCUUAGUGAAGAGGACCUCGAAGCUUCACUGCCCGAGAAGGGAACUUGCAGAAUCUAGUUCUGCACUGCAUACCAGGCUCCAGACGCGCAGGCUCAGUGGCCAUGGCUCACGGGCCUAGCCGCUCCGAGGCAUGUGGGAUCUUCCCGGACCAGGGCACGAACCUGCAUCCCCUGCAUCGACAGGUGAACUCUCAACCACUGCGCCACAUACAGCCCGAAGCUGUAUUUGUUGUUUAAAUCUUUUUCAUCACUUAAAACUUGAAUUGAUGUCUAUAUCUAUUUGCCCUCGAAAUCUUUGUAACUAUUUGACAGUAUGUGCCUGCUAACCUAAAAUAAACAUAGGCUUUUAUCAAUAUAUAUUUGAGUUUUUAGGCUAUACUGUGAACUACUUGGCAAAACACAUAUCUUCUGUAGUAAAUCUAGUCCCUCCAUCAACCUAACCAACCUCAGUUAUUUAAUUUAUCAUACUACUCCCAACACAAAGCCUCUGCUCUCCUAUCCCAAAAACUGUUCCACAAGCUCUGAAUUCCCCGAAACCCCUACACACACACAGACCCUGCAAUUAAGUCCCUCUUCCAUCUAUAAUAUGGAAAGACCAUCCCAAUUUAUUCUUCACCAAGCUUCAGUUCAAGAAUUAUGUAAAGCA